rnacentral:rRNA from 1 species
CACUAGCCGACGACGGGUACGGGUCCUGGAAGGGAGUGCCCGGAGAUGGACUCUGAGACACGAGUCCAGGCCCUACGGGGCGCAGCAGGCGCGAAAACUUUGCAAUGCGGGAAACCGCGACAAGGGAACUCCAAGUGCCUAUGCAAAGCAUAGGCUGUUCAACUGCCUAAAAAGCAGUUGGAGUAAGAGCUGGGUAAGUCCGGUGCCAGCCGCCGCGGUAAUACCGGCAGCUCGAGUGGUGGCCAUUAUUAUUGGGUCUAAAGCGUCCGUAGCCGGUCCUUCAAAUCCCUGGGUAAAUCGGGCAGCUCAACUGUCCGAACUCCGGGGAGACUGUAGGACUAGGGACCGGGAGAGGUCGGAGGUACUCCCGGGGUAGGGGUGAAAUCCUAUAAUCCCGGGGGGACCACCGGUGGCGAAGGCGUCCGACUAGAACGGAUCCGACGGUGAGGGACGAAACCCUGGGGAGCGAACCGGAUUAGAUACCCGGGUAGUCCAGGGCGUAAACGCUGCAGGCUUGGUGUUGGAGGUACUACGUGUGCUUCCAGUGCCGGAGAGAAGUUGUUAAGCCUGCCACCUGGGGAGUAUGCUCGCAAGAGUGAAACUUAAAGGAAUUGGCGGGGGAGCACAAGGGCGAAUCGCGCCCGCUUAUG